rnacentral:misc_RNA from 1 species
GAUGAAGAACGCAGCGAAAUGCGAUACUUGGUGUGAAUUGCAGAAUCCCGUGAACCAUCGAGUCUUUGAACGCAAGUUGCGCCCGAAGCCAUUAGGCCGAGGGCACGCCUGCCUGGGCGUCACACUUCGUUGCCCCCCCAUCUACUCCUUCGGGAUUGCGGGGGGCGGAUGAUGGCCUCCCGUGCGCCUCGUCGCGCGGUUGGCCUAAAUGCCAAGUCCUCGGCGACGCACGCCACGACAAUCGGUGGUUGCGAAACCUCGGUUGCCUGUCGUGUGCGGUCGUCGCGCAUCGAGGGCUCGAAAAAAUUGCCGGGCUUCGGCUCGACUUUCAACGCGACCCCAGGUCAGGCGGGGUUACCCGCUGAAUUUAAGCAUAUCAAUAAGCGGAGGA